CAAGUUUUCAUAUUUUUUGGCACACUAAAUGCAACUAUAAAAAAUACAAAACACACAAAAAAAAUACAAUAAUAAACUAAAUAUUUUUAAAACAGCAGCACGAAAAUUGUAAGGUAACCCAGGUGCUUCGGAUAAGUAAUUGAGCAGUUCUCUUAAGGCUUUUGAAACAAGACAAAAGUAGAACUGAAGGUAACCCAGUGCUAUGGAUCAGAAAACAGUUCAUAUA
rnacentral:lncRNA from 1 species